rnacentral:tRNA from 1 species
GCGGGUGUGGCGGAACUGGCAGACGCACUGGAUUUAGGUUCCAGCGCCGCAAGGCGUGGAGGUUCGACCCCUCUCACCCGCA